AGAGUUUGAUCCUGGCUCAGAUUGAACGCUGGCGGCAUGCUUUACACAUGCAAGUCGAACGGCAGCACGGGUGCUUGCACCUGGUGGCGAGUGGCGAACGGGUGAGUAAUGCAUCGGAACGUACCCAGUCGUGGGGGAUAACUAGUCGAAAGAUUAGCUAAUACCGCAUACGUCCUGAGGGAGAAAGCGGGGGAUCGCAAGACCUCGCGCGAUUGGAGCGGCCGAUGUCGGAUUAGCUAGUUGGUGGGGUAAAGGCUCACCAAGGCGACGAUCCGUAGCUGGUCUGAGAGGACGACCAGCCACACUGGAACUGAGACACGGUCCAGACUCCUACGGGAGGCAGCAGUGGGGAAUUUUGGACAAUGGGGGCAACCCUGAUCCAGCCAUGCCGCGUGCGGGAAGAAGGCCUUCGGGUUGUAAACCGCUUUCGGACGGAAAGAAAUCGCGCAGGCUAAUAUCCUGUGUGGAUGACGGUACCGUAAGAAGAAGCACCGGCUAACUACGUGCCAGCAGCCGCGGUAAUACGUAGGGUGCGAGCGUUAAUCGGAAUUACUGGGCGUAAAGCGUGCGCAGGCGGAUAUUUAAGUCAGACGUGAAAUCCCCGGGCUUAACCUGGGAAUUGCGUUUGAAACUGGAUAUCUAGAGUGCGUCAGAGGGGGGUGGAAUUCCACGUGUAGCAGUGAAAUGCGUAGAGAUGUGGAGGAACACCGAUGGCGAAGGCAGCCCCCUGGGAUGACACUGACGCUCAUGCACGAAAGCGUGGGGAGCAAACAGGAUUAGAUACCCUGGUAGUCCACGCCCUAAACGAUGUCAACUAGCUGUUGGGUGCGAGAGUAUUCAGUAGCGAAGCUAACGCGUGAAGUUGACCGCCUGGGGAGUACGGCCGCAAGGUUGAAACUCAAAGGAAUUGACGGGGGCCCGCACAAGCGGUGGAUGAUGUUGGAUUAAUUCGAUGCAACGCGAGAACCUUACCUGCUCUUGACAUGGCCAGGAACUUGCCAGAGAUGGCUUGAUGCCCGAAAGGGAACCUGGACACAGUGGCUGCAUGGCCUGUCGUCAGCUCGUGUCGUGAGAUGUUUGGGUAAGUUCCCGCAACGAGCGCAACCUUGGCCAUUAGUUGCCUACGAAAGAGCCACUCUAAUGGGACCUGCCGGGUGACCAAUCGGAGGAGGGUGGAUGACGUCCAGUUCUCAAUGGCCCUUAUUGAAGCCAGAGGCCUUCUCCACACUCGUCCAUUCA
rnacentral:rRNA from 1 species